rnacentral:rRNA from 1 species
GAUGAACGCUGGCGGCGUGCCUAAUACAUGCAAGUCGAGCGAACAGACGAGGAGCUUGCUCCUCUGACGUUAGCGGCGGACGGGUGAGUAACACGUGGAUAACCUACCUAUAAGACUGGGAUAACUUCGGGAAACCGGAGCUAAUACCGGAUAAUAUAUUGAACCGCAUGGUUCAAUAGUGAAAGACGGUUUUGCUGUCACUUAUAGAUGGAUCCGCGCCGCAUUAGCUAGUUGGUAAGGUAACGGCUUACCAAGGCAACGAUGCGUAGCCGACCUGAGAGGGUGAUCGGCCACACUGGAACUGAGACACGGUCCAGACGACUACGGGAGGAAGCAGUAGGGAAACUUCCGAAAUGGGCGAAAGCAUGACGGAGCAACGCCGCGUGAGUGAUGAAGGUCUUAGGAUCGUAAAACUCUGUUAUUAGGGAAGAACAAAUGUGUAAGUAACUAUGCACGUCUUGACGGUACCUAAUCAGAAAGCCACGGCUAACUACGUG